GACGAACGCUGGCGGCGUGCCUAAUACAUGCAAGUGGGACGCAAGGAAACACACUGUGCUUGCACACCGUGUUUUCUUGAGUCGCGAACGGGUGAGUAACGCGUAGGUAACCUGCCUAUUAGCGGGGGAUAACUAUUGGAAACGAUAGCUAAUACCGCAUAAUAUUAAUUAUUGCAUGAUAAUUGAUUGAAAGAUGCAAGCGCAUCACUAGUAGAUGGACCUGCGUUGUAUUAGCUAGUUGGUAAGGUAAGAGCUUACCAAGGCGACGAUACAUAGCCGACCUGAGAGGGUGGUCGGCCACACUGGGACUGGGACACGGCCCAGACUCCUACGGGAGGCAGCAGUAGGGAAUCUUCGGCAAUGGACGAAAGUCUGACCGAGCAACGCCGCGUGAGUGAAGAAGGUUUUCGGAUCGUAAAGCUCUGUUGUAAGUCAAGAACGUGUGUGAGAGUGGAAAGUUCACACAGUGACGGUAGCUUACCAGAAAGGGACGGCUAACUACGUG
rnacentral:rRNA from 1 species